UCCGUAGGGGGCAAGCGUUGUCCGGAUUUAUUGGGCGUAAAGAGCGUGUAGGCGGCCAGGUAGGUCCGCUGUGAAAACUCGAGGCUCAACCUCGAGAUGUCGGCGGAAACCAUCUGGCUAGAGUCCGGAAGAGGAGAGUGGAAUUCCUGGUGUAGCGGUGAAAUGCGCAGAUAUCAGGAAGAACACCCGUGGCGAAAGCGGCUCUCUGGGACGGUACUGACGCUGAGACGCGAAAGCGUGGGGAGCAAACAGG
rnacentral:rRNA from 1 species